AAGUAAACAGAUGAUUUUAAAAAGCCAUAACCUAAUCAGAGCCCAGGUGGAAAGUUUAACCUUAAAAUGCUGUAAGCAGAGGUACGGCUUCUCUGAGAGAGGAGGAAAACUAUAUAUAUAUAUACGUGGCUGCAUGUAAAUGUUUAUGUUGGGAAGUCCAGGUGGUGUCUAUUGGACGGCUUUUAUUUUAUCUAUGAAGUGGAUAUGCAAGAAAAACUGAAGGAAGCAGAGCUUGGGUGCUAAGCCUAAAAAUAAAACUGCCAGUUAUGUUACCAGCAAAAACAGGUUUAUUUGGAAUUGCAGAUAACUGCAAUCUGGGACAAGCAAGCUGUGGCAAAACCGCAGACAAAUCCAGAGGACAAAGGUGGUAGACAUGACCCACAAUCAGGAUUCUCGAAGGCGAUGGAGACAAAAGGAAAAUCUGCCCUCUCAGAGGAUAAUCAUAUAAAUGAAGAAAGAGUUAUAUCAGAGCAAAUUUCGUCAAGAUUCAUCAGUGUCUUUGCCUGUAUUGGCGGUCUGCUCCUCCUUACUGGUGGUGGACAUUUGGAUUAUUUCCAGUUUGGGGCUAUUGUGAAUAAGGCUACCAUGGACAUCUGAGUAUAAAUCUUUGAGUGGACAGAUAUUUUCAUCACAUCUCUUGGGUAAAUAUCUAGCAUUGAGAUCAUUGGGAUGUAUG